AUGAACGCUGACAGAAUGCUUAACACCUGCAAGUCGAUGGGGAAGUGGUGCUUGCACCAUGGCAACCAUGGCGGACGGGUGAGUAACGCGUAAGGGACUUACCUGCAGGACUGGGAUAACAGGGGGAAACUCCUGACAAGACCGGAUAAUGUCAUGGAGCUGCAUGGCUUUAUGAUGAAAGGAGACGCCUGCGGAGAGCCUUGCGUCCUAUUAGCUAGUUGGUGAGGUAAUGGCUCACCAAGGCGAAGAUAGGUAGCCGGCCUGAGAGGGUGGACGGCCACAAGGGGACUGAGAUACGGCCCUUACUCCUACGGGAGGCAGCAGUGGGGAAUAUUGGACAAUGGGGGCAACCCUGAUCCAGCAAUUCUGUGUGCACGAAGAAGGUUUUCGGAUUGUAAAGUGCUUUCAGCAGGGAAGAAGUAAGUGACGGUACCUGCAGAAGAAGCGACGGCUAAAUACGUG
rnacentral:rRNA from 1 species